rnacentral:rRNA from 1 species
GACGAACGCUGGCGGCGUGCUUAACACAUGCAAGUCGAACGGAAAGGCCCUGCUUUUGUGGGGUGCUCGAGUGGCGAACGGGUGAGUAACACGUGAGUAACCUGCCCUUGACUUUGGGAUAACUUCAGGAAACUGGGGCUAAUACCGGAUAGGAGCUCCUGCUGCAUGGUGGGGGUUGGAAAGUUUCGGCGGUUGGGGAUGGACUCGCGGCUUAUCAGCUUGUUGGUGGGGUAGUGGCUUACCAAGGCUUUGACGGGUAGCCGGCCUGAGAGGGUGACCGGCCACAUUGGGACUGGGAUACGGCCCAGACUCCUACGGGAGGCAGCAGUGGGGAAUAUUGCACACUGGGCGGAAGCCUGAUGCAGCAACGCCGCGUGCGGGAUGACGGCCUUCGGGUUGUAAACCGCUUUCGCCUGUGACGAAGCGUGAGUGACGGUAAUGGGUAAAGAAGCACCGGCUAACUACGUG